CAGAGGAGCAACAGCCGCUUUCGGAGUCAGUUCCGUGGAGCGGGUUAACCUGUUCGUGUCCUAAUCGGAGUUAGUUGCAGUAACCGGCACUGCCUUCCCCAGGGACAGGACAGCGAAAUCCUUGAGCAUUCCCCAGCUCAAGCUUCCCAGGUCUGUGGUGAAAACCCUGGAGGUGGGAGAGCCCCACGAGCUUUAGUUAGGGAGAAAGAGAGAGACACUUGGAGGCCAGUCCGUGGGGAGAAGGCUCCAUAAACAGCUCCUUGAUGUUAGCAACAGACAGGGCCUACGGGAGCAAGGGCCGCCCGGCAACGGUACCAGUGUUUGUCAACAGGGGUUCUUGGAUGCCUUGCCCUCGAGGGGCAGUACCCCUCUCAGGAAAAACCGGCGUGCCAAUGCCUGCACUCUAGUUUCAGGCUUUCCCGCAACUUCACAGGUCUCAGGGUUUGUCUGCCUAGUUCCACUAAACUCAGUGUUUGGGUCCAAGGCUGGGGCCAGCUCAAUCCCUGUUCUUUUCCUUCUGUUGUGAGAGCGCCCCCACCUGUCCAGAGACAGAAUUGGGGCCCAGAAAGGCUCCAAUUGAACCAAAAUUCUAGAUAUCCAUUCCCUCUUAUCCACAAAUACAAACAUGAACAUCACUUUUUUCUUAAUAAAUUUAUUCACAAAAAAGUGAGA
rnacentral:lncRNA from 1 species